GAUGAACGCUGGCGGCGUGCUUAACACUUGCAAGUCGAACGGUGAACGAGGGAGCUUGCUCCCUCCGGAUCAGUGGCGAACGGGUGAGUAACACGUGAGCAAUCUGCCCUGGACUCUGGGAUAAGCGUUGGAAACGACGUCUAAUACCGGAUACGAGGCGUGGGGGCAUCCCCAACGCCUGGAAAGAACUUCGGUCCAGGAUGAGCUCGCGGCCUAUCAGGUAGUUGGUGAGGUAACGGCUCACCAAGCCGACGACGGGUAGCCGGCCUGAGAGGGUGACCGGCCACACUGGGACUGAGACACGGCUCAGACUCCUACGGGAGGCAGCAGUGGGGAAUAUUGCACAAUGGGCGCAAGCCUGAUGCAGCAACGCCGCGUGAGGGACGACGGCCUUCGGGUUGUAAACCUCUUUUAGCAGGGAAGAAGCGAAAGUGACGGUACCUGCAGAAAAAGCACCGGCUAACUACGUGCCAGCAGCCGCCGUAACAC
rnacentral:rRNA from 1 species